CCUACGGGUGGCAGCAGUCGAGAAUCAUUCACAAUGGGGGAAACCCUGAUGGUGCGACGCCGCGUGGGGGAAUGAAGGUCUUCGGAUUGUAAACCCCUUUCAUGUGGGAGCAAAUUAAAAAGAUAGUACCACAAGAGGAAGAGACUGCGAACUCUGUGCCAGCAGCCGCGGUAAUACAGAGGUCUCAAGCGUUGUUCGGAAUCACUGGGCGUAAAGGGUGCGUAGGCUGUUUCGUAAGUCGUGUGUGAAAGGCGCGGGCUCAACCCGGGUACGGCACAUGAUACUGCGGGACUAGAGUAAUGGAGGGGGAACCGGAAUUCUUGGUGUAGCAGUGGAAUGCGCAGAUAUCGAGAGGAACACUAGUGGCGAAGGCGGGUUCCUGGACAUUAACUGACGCUGAGGCACGAAGGCCAGGGGAGCGAAAGGGAUUAGAUACCCCAGUAGUC
rnacentral:rRNA from 1 species